AUAAUAAAUAUAGUUUGAGUAAAUUAUUUUAUUAUUUGUUUUGAUAUAAGAUUUUAUUUAAAUGAAAUAUAUUAAGUUUAUUAUUUUGUAAGAUUAAAUUUAUUAUAAUUAUAGGUUAUUAGUAUUGUGAUAGAAUAAAUUUUAUAUUUAUAAAAGAAGAUUUAAUUUGUUGUAUCUUGUGUAUCAGGGUUGAUCUAAUAAAAAUUUAUUUUAAUAAAUUUUCUCGAAUUUUAAAGAGUUUUAUUAUUAUAAUUUUUAAUGUAGAAUAAUUAUUAUUAAUAAUAAUAAAGAAAUGAGACGUUACUCGUUUUAAAAUAUAUCUAGUUUCUUAAGAAACAAAUUUAAUUUGUCUUUAUUUAUAAUUCAAUUUAUUUGUAAAAUUAAUUAUAUUUAAAGUAUAUUAAGAAAGGGUUGAGCUUUUUUUAAUAAGAAUAAAAAUUUAUUAAUUAAAUUUAUUUAUUAUUGAAUUAAUAGUGUUUGAUUGAUGAUUUAUAUCUAAUUAUAUAUGAAUUAUAAUUUUUAUUUUGUUUAUAUUAUAAAUUUAUUAAGAUUUUUAUUAUAAUUAAUUAAAUUAGUAAUUAAUGAUUAAAUUAGUAAAUUUUAUUGUAAUGUAUAAUUGUAUAUUAAUUGUAAAGUUAAAUUUAGGAAUUCGGCAAAUAAAUUUUUUACCUGUUUAUUAAAAACAUGGUCUUUAGUCAUAUAUUUAAGAUCUGGCCUGCCCAAUGAAUUUAAAUGGCUGCGGUAUUUUGACCGUACAAAGGUAGCAUAAUCAUUAGUUUUUUAAUUGAAAGCUGGAAUGAAUGGUUGGAUAAAAAAAUAACUGUCUUAAUUUAAUUUAUUUUGAAUUUUAUUAUUAAGUUAAAAAGCUUAAAUAUUUAAUGAAGACGAGAAGACCCUUUAGAGUUUUAUAGAUUUUAAAGUUAAAAAUUUAUAGUAUUUUAGUAAUAAUUUUUGUGUUUAUUUAAUUGGGGUGAUUUAAAAAUUUAAUUAACUUUUUAUUUUAUUUACAUAUAUUUAUGGAUGAAUGAUCCUAUUUUUUGAUUAUAAGAAUAAAUUACCUAAGGGAUAACAGCGUUAUUAUUCUUGAGAGUUCUAAUCGAUAGAAUAUUUUGCGACCUCGAUGUUGGAUUAAAGUUUUAUUUUGGUGGAGAAGCUAAAAAUAUAAGUCUGUUCGACUUUUAAAAUUUUACAUGAUCUGAGUUUAGACCGGCGUGAGCCAGGUUGGUUUCUAUCUCUUUAUUGUUAAAAUAAUUUAGUACGAAAGGACCAAUUAUUUGAUAUAAAUAUUUCUAAAUUGAAUAUUAUUGUUAUUUUGGCAGAAAAGUGUAUUAGAUUUAGGAUCUUUUUAUGUAAUUUUAAAUUACAAAUAA
rnacentral:rRNA from 1 species